CGGUUGAUCCUGCCGGAGGUUACUGCUAUUGGAAUCCGAUUAAGCCAUGCGAGUCGAUCGGGUUUAGACCCGAGGCACACUGCUCAGUAACACGUGGAGAAUCUGCCCUUAGGUGAGAGAUAACCUCGGGAAACCGAGAAUAAUAUCUCAUAGGUUAUGAAUGCUGGAAUGCUUCAUAGCUGAAAGCCCCGGCGCCUAAGGAUGACUCUGCGGACUAUCAGGUAGUAGUCAGGGUAAUAACCUGACUAGCCUACGACGGAUACGGGGUGUGAGAGCACUAGCCCGGAGAUGGAUUCUGAGACACGAAUCCAGGCCCUACGGGGUGCAGCAGGCGCGAAACUUCCGCAAUGCUCGCAAGAGUGACGGAGGGAUUCCAAGUGCCUAUGCAAUGCGUAGGCUGUUCCCAUGUCUAAAUAACAUGGGGAGUAAGAGCUGGGUAAGACGGGUGCCAGCCGCCGCGGUAAUACCUGCAGCUCGAGUGGUAACCGCUAUUAUUGGGCCUAAAGCGUCCGUAGCCGGUUUAGUAAAUAUUUGGGUAGAUCGUGAGGCUUAACUUCACGAAUUUCGGAUAGACUGCUAGACUUGGGACCGGGGGAGGUCAGAGGUACUCCAGGGGUAGCGGUGAAAUGUUGUAAUCCUUGGAGGACCACCGGUAGCGAAGGCGUCUGACUAGAACGGGUCCGACGGUGAGGGACGAAGCCCUGGGGCGCAAACCGGAUUAGAUACCCGGGUAGUCCAGGGUGUAAACGAUGUGGGCUUUGUAUUGGAGGUCCCACGUGGGCGUCCAGUGCAGGGGAGAAGUUGUUAAGCCCACCGCCUGGGAAGUACGGUCGCAAGGCUGAGACUUAAAGGAAUUGGCGGGGGAGCAC
rnacentral:rRNA from 1 species